AACUUAUGAUGUGGAACUUCACGAACGUAGUCAUUGAAGCGCUCAUAGGCUUCAGCAAUGUUCUCAGUAGAAUACUGAGCAAAGGUAGCUAUCCUGCUUCUUAGGUU
rfam:Setaria italica strain Yugu1 chromosome VI, whole genome shotgun sequence.